UCGAGCGGACAGAUGGGAGCUUGCUCCCUGAUGUUAGCGGCGGACGGGUGAGUAACACGUGGGUAACCUGCCUGUAAGACUGGGAUAACUCCGGGAAACCGGGGCUAAUACCGGAUGGUUGUUUGAACCGCAUGGUUCAAACAUAAAAGGUGGCUUCGGCUACCACUUACAGAUGGACCCGCGGCGCAUUAGCUAGUUGGUGAGGUAACGGCUCACCAAGGCAACGAUGCGUAGCCGACCUGAGAGGGUGAUCGGCCACACUGGGACUGAGACACGGCCCAGACUCCUACGGGAGGCAGCAGUAGGGAAUCUUCCGCAAUGGACGAAAGUCUGACGGAGCAACGCCGCGUGAGUGAUGAAGGUUUUCGGAUCGUAAAGCUCUGUUGUUAGGGAAGAACAAGUACCGUUCGAAUAGGGCGGUACCUUGACGGUACCUAACCAGAAAGCCACGGCUAACUACGUGCCAGCAGCCGCGGUAAUACGUAGGUGGCAAGCGUUGUCCGGAAUUAUUGGGCGUAAAGGGCUCGCAGGCGGUUUCUUAAGUCUGAUGUGAAAGCCCCCGGCUCAACCGGGGAGGGUCAUUGGAAACUGGGGAACUUGAGUGCAGAAGAGGAGAGUGGAAUUCCACGUGUAGCGGUGAAAUGCGUAGAGAUGUGGAGGAACACCAGUGGCGAAGGCGACUCUCUGGUCUGUAACUGACGCUGAGGAGCGAAAGCGUGGGG
rnacentral:rRNA from 1 species